GAUGAACGCUGGCGGCGUGCCUAAUACAUGCAAGUCGAGCGAACAGACGAGGAGCUUGCUCCUCUGACGUUAGCGGCGGACGGGUGAGUAACACGUGGAUAACCUACCUAUAAGACUGGGAUAACUUAGGGAAACCGGAGCUAAUACCGGAUAAUAUAUUGAACCGCAUGGUUCAAUAGUGAAAGACGGUUUUGCUGUCACUUAUAGAUGGAUCCGCGCCGCAUUAGCUAGUUGGUAAGGUAACGGCUUACCAAGGCAACGAUGCGUAGCCGACCUGAGAGGUUGAUCGGCCACACUGGAACUGAGACACGGUCCAGACUCCUACGGGAGGCAGCAGUAGGGAAUCUUCCGCAAUGGGCGAAAGCCUGACGGAGCAACGCCGCGUGAGUGAUGAAGGUCUUCGGAUCGUAAAACUCUGUUAUUAGGGAAGAACAAAUGUGUAAGUAACUAUGCACGUCUUGACGGUACCUAAUCAGAAAGCCACGGCUAACUACGUG
rnacentral:rRNA from 1 species